GGGCUCGUGGUGUAGCUGGCCUAACAUGCCUCCCUGUCACGGAGGAGAUCGCGGGUUCGAAUCCCGUCGAGCCCG
rnacentral:tRNA from 4 species